AAAACAAGUGUUAUUUAUCUUAAUCGAGGGGAAUUAUUCAUAAUACUUUUAUUUCUUUUUUAUAGAAAACGAAUCAGCCGAGAUAGAAACGUCACAGAAUUUCAAAGAUGAGAUUGAUGCUAACUUGGGCCAAUUGGCUGAAGAGAAAGAACAGAAAAUGGAAAUCAAUCAAAAGAAACCGAUCUCCAAGUCACGGAAAAGAAAGAGGGACGAAACAUUUGGUCCGUUUAUGGAAACGUUAAAGCAAAUGGAAUUGUCCAGCACCAAACUGUUUUUAGAGCAAGAAGAAAAAAUUAGAAAAGAGGAACACAUAAUUGAAGAAAAACGCUUGCAAUCAGAGCGGCAAUUCCAAAUGCAAAUGUUUGCCAUGCAGCAGAAACUGCAAAUGCAGAUGAUGACAAUGUUUGGUCAGCAGAUAUCGUCCGCAUUUACCUGUAAUGAUUCACAACCAACAACAUCUGGAAAACCAGCUGCCGACUGCAGUGGUGACGCAUCCGGAUAUAGUAGGCAAGAACCCAAUUUCUUUGAAAUGCAGGAUGCCUUUGAUUGCCUUGACACAUACACGUACACAAACUUGUAAACAUGAUGACUGUACGAUUUUCAGUUUCGAAUUUAGUGUAAUAAAAUAAAUGUUGAUAACUAGUAAAGGUUAUAAUAAAGUUUGUUAGAUCUG